UACGUAGGAGGCGAGCGUUGUCCGGAUUUACUGGGCGUAAAGCGCGCACAGGCGGCACUUCAAGUACGGUGUGAAAUCUCCCUGCUCAACGGGGAGGGUGCAUUGUAAACUGGAGAGCUAGAGGACGGUAGAGGGGGGUAGAAUUGCUGGUGUAGCGGUGAAAUGCGUAGAGAUCAGCAGGAAUACCCGUGGCGAAGGCGGAUCUCUGGGCCAUUACUGACGCUGAGGAGCGAAAGCGUGGGGAGCGAACAGG
rnacentral:rRNA from 1 species